GCCCUAUGGGACUCCCAAUCACAGCCGGAUGUGAUACAGCCUGGAUUCGAACCAGGGACUGUAGUGACACCUCUUGCUCUGAGAUGCAGUGCCUUAGACCGCUGCGCCACUCGGGAGCCCAAAUGAUGAUCUGAUCAGAAGAUGUCUUCUCCUGGUCUGUUGGGACCAGACUGUUGAGUAGAAUACAGGAAAUCAAAAUGACUUCCCAUCAGCCAAAUUCUCUCCACAGUGUCGUCAACAUUCCUAAGUGACAAUGUUGUUCGUCUGUCUAAAAGGUCCAAGAGUGCUCUGUUUUUUUAAAAAACUUCCUCAUUUAGGUCUGGUAGGAAGAGCAGUGUGUGCUCUGUCUUGACCGGGUGGGUCCCAAACUGUUUCAUUCAGGCCCCUCUUCCAUCAUUGGGGAACAUCCCGCACCAGGGUGAUGUUUUUGUAACUCAGCGCUCCCUCCAUUUAUAAUACCCCUGUCCAAUUCUGGGCCCCAAAUGGCACCCUAUUCCCUAUAGAGUGCACUAUUAGAGGGCCUUGGUCAAAAGUAGUGUACUAAAUAUGGAAUAGAGUGCCAUUUGGGACUAAUAAAUUGUUUAAUCUCUGGCUUGCGUUAACAGAAUGGAGCAGUUUAAAAAGCUAAGACUUGUAAGACUGACGUCAUGUCUGACAUGGACGUCAUGGCUUUCAGAAGUUGUUUAAUUUCCCCCUCCUCCUAACUGUGUACUGUAAUUAGUGUCGACACCCACCACAGACGGGGGGAGAACCUGUAUACUGCUUUACAAGGGUUUCUUAAUGCCAUUGGUCGGUUCUAAACAGCAGAAGGUUCUACGUCGACUGAAAAGGACCCUUGAAGUUCAUGUGAUCACAUGUGUUUUCAUGUUAAUCCACACUGUGAGAGGUGUACUGGUCACCUAUAACAUGACUUAGUCUGUGUCCUCAAUGGCACUAUAUUCCCUGUACGCUGAGAGUACAAAACAUUAAGGACACUUGCUCUUUCCGUGACAUAGACUGACCAGGUGAAAGCUAUGAUCCCUUGUUGAUGUCACUUGUUAAAGUCAGUGUAGAUGAAGGGGAGGAGAAGGCUUAAAUAAUGAUUUUAAGCCUUGAGACAAUUGAGACGUGGAUUGUGUGCCAUUCAGAGGGUGAAUACGGGUAAAACAAAAUAUUUUAAGUGCCUUUGAACCCGGUAUGGUAGUUGGUGCUGGGUAUACUGGCUUGUGUCAAGAACUGCAACUCUCUACAGUUUCCCGAUGUGUAUCAAGAAUGGUCCACCACCCAAAGGACAUUCAGCCAACUGGACACAACUGUGGGAAGCAUUGGCGUCAACAUAGGCCAACAUUCCUGUGGAACGCUUUCGACACCCUUGUAGAGUCCGUGCCCCGACGGGGAACGGGGGAGGUCUGACCAAGUGUUACUGUCUGUUUUCUUUUCUUCCAAAUGUUGGUUGGAAUAUUCCAGAAGGGAGUAAGUAGGAAAUCCAGAAUACUCUGCUCAGGAUUUCUGCGAAAGUUUGCAGGAUCUCGCAACCCUUAUUCCAUGCCUGAUACUUGGUACAUAGUCUACGGCCUUUGGUCACCGUGUCGGGGAAGGGUUAACGUCUUUUUGGUGAGGUCUAGAUGUUGUCUGUGGCUGUAUUUAGCCUCGCUGUGCUCAGGAUCCUUUCGUUUUAGAAUCUGCUGAGCUGUCAGAAUGGUUUUUUACUGUGGUGGUGCUGCGUUACCUAACGAGCCUUGCUUGGAGAAGUCACACGGACCUGAAAGCCUGCCUUGUAUAGCUCUUCUCAUGCUUUCACUGCCUAAAACACUUCAUGGAGAGAGAGGUUAAAAUAACAAACACUAGUUUACUCAAAUUCAACCUUUAUGGCGCGUUGUCAACAGUUAAGACCGCGUCUGUAUUCUGUAUAGCUCUUCUCAUGCUUUCGGUGUUGCAAGCACGUCAUACUGAGAAAUGAGGGUCUAUAACACCAGAAACAGUUGACUCUUUCGUGGAAAAAAAGCUUCAAAUUCAACCUGUGUUCUUCAUAAGACUAUUUUACAUCUCUUAAAUGAAGUCAUACAAUUUUGUUGUGAAGAGUUUUUAAAGAAGCAGUACAAAGUUGUUGUGAAGAGUUUUUAAAGACGUAGUUUAGUCGUCUUUUUUCUUCAUCAGUCUUCCUCCAGCGACUUUAGUGGAUUAGGUUUCCCACAACACUAUUUGCCGGCCGGAAUCUAAACUGCCACUCCUUCACACAGCUGCUUUUCUUAUGACAGAGACUAAAUCAUACUGAGUCCUGUCGUUCCUGUCCAGGUCUAAUCUGUGACUUGCUAAGGGGCAGGGUUGUAUGGACUGUCGUUCCUGUCCAGGUCUAAUCUGUGACUUGCUAAGGGGCAGGGUUGUAUGGACUGUCGUUCCUGUCCAGGUCUAAUCUGUGACUUGCUAAGGGGCAGGGUUGUAUGGACUGUCGUUCCUGUCCAGGUCUAAUCUGUGACUUGUUAGAGGGCAGGGUUGUAUGGACUGUCGUUCCUGUCCAGGUCUAAUCUGUGACUUGCUAAGGGGCAGGGUUGUAUGGACUGUCGUUCCUGUCCAGGUCUAAUCUGUGACUUGUUAGAGGGCAGGGUUGUAUGGACUGUCGUUCCUGUCCAGGUCUAAUCUGUGACUUGCUAAGGGGCAGGGUUGUAUGGACUGUCGUUCCUGUCCAGGUCUAAUCUGUGACUUGCUAAGGGGCAGGGUUGUAUGGACUGUCGUUCCUGUCCAGGUCUAAUCUGUGA